rnacentral:rRNA from 1 species
UACGUAGGGGGCAAGCGUUAUCCGGAUUUACUGGGUGUAAAGGGAGCGCAGACGGCAGUGCAAGUCUGGAGUGAAAGCCCGGGGCCCAACCCCGGGACUGCUCUGGAAACUGUACGGCUAGAGUACGGGAGGGGCAGGCGGAAUUCCUAGUGUAGCGGUGAAAUGCGUAGAUAUUAGGAGGAACACUGGCGGCGAAGGCGGCCUGCUGGACCGAAACUGACGUUGAGGCUCGAAAGCGUGGGGAGCAAACAGG